rnacentral:rRNA from 1 species
CGUGCCCAACAGCUAGCCCAUUAACUAAAAUCAACAAACACCCAUCAAUAACCCCUAAGACACUGCACCACACCAAACAAACCAUUUUUCCCCCUCAGUAUAGGCGAUAGAAAAGGAACUCCGGAGCAAUAGAAGAAGUACCGCAAGGGAAUGCUGAAAGAGUAAUGAAACAACCCAGUAAAGCUUAAAAAAGCAGAGAUUCUAACUCGUACCUUUUGCAUCAUGAUUUAGCAAGUACACCCAAGCAAAGAGAACUUUAGUUUGACACCCCGAAACUAAGUGAGCUACUCCAAGACAGCCUAUUCAUUAGGGCAAACCCGUCUCUGUGGCAAAAGAGUGGGAAGAGCUUCGAGUAGAGGUGAUAGACCUACCGAACUUAGUUAUAGCUGGUUGCCUGGGAAUUGGAUAAAAGUUCAGCCCCUUGGCUUCUUCCCUCACCCCAUGUCAAUCCCACAUGACCCCCUAAGAAACCAAGAGAGUUAAUUAAAGGGGGGACAGCCCCUUUAAUCAAAGACACAACUUUUUCAGGAGGGUAAAGAUCAUAAUCAAACCAAAGGAAAAAUGUCCAGGUGGGCCUAAAAGCAGCCAUCCUUACAGAAAGCGUUAAAGCUCAAACAUACAACUACCCCUCCCUAUCCUGAUAAUUCUAUCUUAACCCCCUAACCCUACCAGGCCGUUCCAUGCACAACAUGGAAGAGAACAUGCUAAUAUGAGUAAUAAGAGAACCCCGUCUCUCUCCUCGCACAAGUGUAAAUCGGAACGGACUCCCCACCGAAAUUUAACGGACCCAAACAAAGAGGGCAUUAGGCAACUAACUAAACAACUAGAAAAACACCCAUUUCAUAACCGUUAACCCCACACUGGUGUGCCCCCUGAGGAAAGACUAAAAGAAAAAGAAGGAACUCGGCAAACACAUGAAGCCUCGCCUGUUUACCAAAAACAUCGCCUCUUGCAAAAACAAUGAAUAAGAGGUCCCGCCUGCCCCGUGACCAAAGGUUCAACGGCCGCGGUAUUUUGACCGUGCAAAGGUAGCGCAAUCACUUGUCUCUUAAAUGGGGACCCGUAUGAAUGGCAUAACGAGGGCUUAGCUGUCUCCUUUUUCAAGUCAAUGAAAUUGAUCUCCCCGUGCAGAAGCGGGGAUAACCACAUAAGACGAGAAGACCCUAUGGAGCUUUAGACACCAAGACAGACUAUGUUAAACACCCCAAAUCAAAGGGCCAAACUAAAUGGAAACCUGUCCUAAUGUCUUCGGUUGGGGCGACCGCGGGGAAACAUAAAACCCCCACGUGGAAAGGGAGCACGACCCUCCUACAGCCAAGAGCUUCCGCUCUACUAAACAGAACUUCUGACCUUAAGAUCCGGCAAAGCCGAUCAACGGACCAAGUUACCCUAGGGAUAACAGCGCAAUCCCCUUCUAGAGCCCAUAUCGACAAGGGGGUUUACGACCUCGAUGUUGGAUCAGGACAUCCUAAUGGUGCAGCCGCUAUUAAGGGUUCGUUUGUUCAACGAUUAAAGUCCUACGUGAUCUGAGUUCAGACCGGAGUAAUCCAGGUCAGUUUCUAUCUAUGGCAUGAUCUUUUCUAGUACGAAAGGACCGAAAAGAAGGGGCCCCUGCUCAAAGUACGCCUCUCCCUUACCUAAUGAAAACAACUAAAAUAGGCAAAAGGGCAUAUCCCCGUGCCUGAGAGAAUGGCAU